rnacentral:lncRNA from 1 species
AUAACACUGUUUCUAACAAAUGUCUUAAAAUAAUAGAGAUGUUUUUGUUCUUUGCCACAUGGUAUAUUCUGAAAUACUUUCUUUACAAUGUUUGAGUUUACCCUACCAUAAACCUUCUGUUUUAGAUUUAUUGAGUUUUAAAGAAGAAGUGUUUCGAAUAUCUUUGAGGUCCAAUGAUAGGGCUAUUUCAUUUUUAGAAUUGACAAAACGAGUCAUCAGCCAGUUGACUAAACAUUUUAUCAUCUUUGUUUACAUGUUGUUUCCCAUUUUUUAUUCUUUAAAACCUUGUCAAAUUCAUGUUCACCGAUUUGACUCAGAUUCUCAUAUGUGAUUGAUAACAAUGUAAAACAUGUAUCCAAACUGUUAAAAAUGUAAAUUAAACAAAAUACAAAAAUACGCAGCUUCGUUUCGUGUAUAUUUUAGUCCAGACGCCAUGUUAUUAACUGUCGAGUUGACCUCCAAAUGCCAUACCUAAGAAAUACAAACUUUGAAGUCUUUGGUUUGAAAUUGCUUAAUAUCGAUACAAAAACUAUCCGACUAGCAGCAUACAUGAUUCCACAAAACAACAGAGAGUGUUUACAAUCGAGAAAAUUGUUUAACCUUUUGAAACACAUUAUCAAAUUAAUUUCAUUAUACAUAUGAUCUGUUUAAUGAAGUCGUAUAUAUGCAUACUAAUUGUUUUUGUUAGAUAUAUAUAUAUAGUUGAACGCAAUCGAUGUUGUAACAUCUAAACUGUCGUCACCAUUGAAAUUUUAGAAUAUUUACCAGUUCAUUUCCACAUUACGACUGUAAAAGCAGAAAUUUUCGAGGAAGAUAUAAUUUUGUUUAUUUGGUGGAAAGAAUAUAUCCACGAAGUUAAAACCCCACCGAAAAUUUAACCUCCAUAUAAUACCACUAACAUUUUAGGAAACCACGAAAUUAAAUAUAAACCCCCCAUGAAAUCUUAUAGAGAGACAAAACCACGAAAUUUUAACCCCACGA